UUUAAAGUAAAAAGAUCAAAUCCGAAUUGUAAAUGUAGUUUAACAUGUAUAUAUUGUUUUUCCCGUAUUACUAGAAAAGAGUAAUGGUAUCAUCAUUGCAGUGGAGAUAUUUGUUUAUGUCUGUUACCUGAUACUUGUCUGUCCACCUGCAUCAGUAAACAAUAAAGAUGUUAUCAAGACAAGAAAUUGACAUCACUUGUGUUAAAAUAUUAAAGCUCCAAAUGAUAAAAUAUUAAAUCAUAUAUGGACAACAUUAAUAUGACAUUUUUGAGCACCUUAAAGACGCAUUUGGAAAAUUUGAAGAACCAUUCGAACAGCCACAUUCGAACAUCUUAAAGACAACAAAAUUUUGUCUUGUUUUGGACAACCUAAUGGAUCAGCAAGGCAUAUAUUAAACUAUGCCUAACAUGUUUAUUUCAUCAUGCUUUAAGCAACAAUAAACAACCAUUAGGCAUUAUAUUAAAUCAACUCUUUAACACAUCCGAACAACUUAAAAUACAUCGUUCGAAUAUCAUAAAUCACAACUUUCAGACACCAUAAAUUGCAGCAUUUAACACCUAAAUUUUUAGCUUACUAACAUCAUAAAUUCAUAUCCAUUUGGACAUCAUUAGUUAACAUUUAACAAUUUAGUUUCACAUUGUUCAGAUCAUUUUAAUUUCUUGAUCACUUGGAUGAUCUUUAAUUAUUAAUUGGACAACAAUAUACAACCAUCGAUUAGACCACCUAAAUUGGUAAGAAAUUAGACAGCAUGCAUGCAAACUGCAUGCUUCAGCAGCUCCCUCGACAACUAGAAAUUUCACUAAAAUUUCACUUAAUUCCAUCACUCAUACCAGCAUAAAGAUGCAACAAAACAACCAAGGAAGAAAAGGUAAAGAACUUAGUAUCAUUUAUUUAACUAAUUAAAUAACAUAUGCUAUUGUUGCAUUUUUAGCAAGUUUAAAACAUCUUUAAAGAGGGAAAUUAAAUCCUGAAAGUCAAGCAUUUGGACAGAGGCCAAAGUUGGCAUUUAACCUCUCAUAGUUCCCUAUUAUUUCAAUCAGUAGCAGUCCAUCUCCUCAACAAAUUUAAGCAUAUUCAGUUCAGCAAUUUCAUACUUAAAACUUCAAACUUUACAAAGGCUUAAAAGAUUAAUCGAAGUUGCCACUAGCCAGGAGAAUAUUAGUAAAUAAUGAAGGAAUAUAAAAAUAAUACAUGUUUGUGAAAGUUACUUGAUACUUGUCUGUCCACCUGCAUCAGUAAAUAAUAAAUAUGUUAUCAAGACAAGAAGUUGACAUCACUUGUGUUAAAAUAUUAAAGCUCCAAAUGAUAAAAGAAAGCAAAAUUCCAGCACACAGUACAUAUCACGAAAGGAAGUGGUUGUUCAAAAUAGCAAGUUCAGUCAAUUA
rnacentral:lncRNA from 1 species